GGGGGAGCACCCCCUCCCCCCAG
rnacentral:tRNA from 1 species